CUGUAAUUCUCUCUCCUGAACUGUAGGUUGAUUUAGACAGUAUCACAGUGUAAGGGGCGCUGCUUGUUUGAGCUGAUGCCCCGUGACUUGGCUGCAGCGUGGUGCAUGAUCCCUCUAUACCCUGUCCAUUGGAGUAGGCAGUAAUACAGAGCGGAUAGAGCAAUGCCAAAAGAAAGAUCAAGUUCUGUGUGCACUGAUUCAUCUUUCUAGAGAAACGUCAAGUUCU